UCUAUGGUUGUUUUGUGUACCGGCGAAAGUUGCGCGGCACUAGAGAGGCUAGCAAUGGUGGAAGGUGAAAGUGCAUCUAUACCAUGGACUCACAUUAGUCAUGAAGGACUCACAUAUUUAUUGCGAAAGUUUUUAUUAGUAAUCGAAACAAAGUGCUAAACGCAUACUCCUAGGGGAAGGGUUGGUAGGUGUUAACCAUCGCGCGAUCCCGACCGCAACAAAAAGGAUGACAGUCAAUAAAUCAAUUAUGCUCCGACUUCCUAACAUAGCGGUUCACCUUGCGUGCAUGUUAUGGGAAUCACUAACUUCAACACAAGUAUUUCUAGAUUCACAACACCCUACUAACAUGACUCUUAAUAUUACCAAAUCUCCGUGCGUAUCUUCUGUUCCGGAAAAAAUCUUUUUGGAGGUUUUAUUCCGUUUGGACGCCGUUUAAUAUUCUCCUAUGAAAAAGGUCAAAAACACGGAAAAAUAGGAACUAGCACUUGGCACUGAGUUAAUAAGUUAGUCCCCAAAAAUAUGUAAAAUGCAUACAAAACAUCCAAAGUUUGACAAGAUAAUAGCAUGGAACCAUAAAAAAUUAGAGAUACGUUGGAGACGUAUC
rnacentral:lncRNA from 1 species